rnacentral:rRNA from 1 species
GACGAAGGGGGCUAGCGUUGUUCGGAAUUACUGGGCGUAAAGCGCGUGUAGGCGGUUGUCCAAGUUGGAUGUGAAAGCCUUGAGCUUAACUCAAGAAAUGCAUUCAGGACUGGGAUGACUAGAGGACCGGAGAGGAUAGUGGAAUUCCCAGUGUAGUGGUGAAAUACGUAGAGAUUGGGAAGAACACCAGUGGCGAAGGCGGGUCUCUGGACAGUUCCUGACGCUGAGGCGCGAAGGCCAGGGGAGCAAAGCGGG